rnacentral:rRNA from 1 species
GACGAACGCUGGCGGCGUGCCUAACACAUGCAAGUGGAGCGACGAACCAGGCUUCGGCCUGGGGCAAGGCCGCGAACGGGUGAGUAACACGUGGGUAACCUGCCCUGAUGAUUGGGACAACCCGAGGAAACUCGGGCUAAUACCGAAUGUGCCCUCCGGCCUCAAGGCCGCUGGGGAAAGGAAGCUUCGGCCUCCGCAUCGGGAUGGGCCCGGGGCCCAUUAGCUUGUUGGUGAGGUAACGGCUCACCAAGGCGACGAUGGGUAGCUGGUCUGAGAGGACGAUCAGCCACACUGGGACUGAGACACGGCCCAGACUCCUACGGGAGGCAGCAGUGGGGAAUCUUGCGCAAUGCGCGAAAGCGUGACGCAGCAACGCCGCGU